rnacentral:lncRNA from 1 species
UUCUACCUGGUCUCUGCUGCCAGUUUCCCUUUCCAGACCAGGCCGCGUGUGCCCAAACUCAGUCUGAUGAAACCUUGGCAAAGUUAAGGAUCCAGGCCCUGCCCAGCCUGGUCUUAGACUUCCUCUGAAGUUUACCUCCCAAGCAUCCCCGAAGGACUCACAGCUCCAGCCAAACCUGGAGGACUCCAUCUGAAAAUGGCGACUCUAUGGUGCACGGGGAGGAUUUUCCCUGGCACUGCUCUCCUCCGUCGCUCCACAGCCGAUGACUCCAGCGCAGAUUAAAAGCUGCCAUUUAAGGGAGAGAAUUCAUUGGGACGACGUCGCCAAGCCACUGACAAUGUCACAGAAACAUACUUUCCACAUCUGGGUUCUGUGUUUUGACUUCAUCUAAUUCUUAAACUGGACAAGCUUAUUAAUACGAAGACUGUGGCUCUUUCUGAAUGCAGAAUCAGAAACCACUCCUUUUAAAAAAACCUGUGGACAAUCUUUCCAACCAUAAAAUCACUUCCAUUCUCCAACCAACAAGUUUUCAAAUGGAUUUUGUAAAUGUGCAAGAACUCAAAGCAAAUCUAUUAAAAAAAAAAAAAAAGAUGUCAGGCUGAAAAUAAGGAAAAUCAGAGCGGGAGAAGAGAAUGCAGCCUGUGUGUGCCCCCCUGGCCUUCACAGCACCCUGUUCUUGUGAUGAACCAGCACUCCUCCCCAUAAACUCUAAGUCAUUCUCACCUUCCCAGGAGUUUGUAAGUCAGACAACUGUUAAGGGGACCAACUCAUAAUAUUACUGCAAAAUUUCACAGCUGAAAGUCAAAUAGCAAUGAUUUUGCUCUGCCAGCCUGACACCACCUUGACCAUGUGGAUUAAAGUCCCUGGGCAGCGAGCAUGAGCAUAUAAAGCGUGGCCAGUGAUGUUGGUGCAAGCAGCUCUGCAGUUUAAAAUGUGCCAGAACGUGGUCAUUGAGGGCAUCCAUGCACUUUUUCUUGAUCAAAAUUCUAUACAUUAUGAUAAGUGGAGAAUUCGUGCCAACAACAACAACAACACAAAACCCCCACCAAUUAUGCUGUGUAUCUGGGUUCCCCAGAGAAACAGAAGUUGAGCACCCACCGUGGGCACAGUAAUGUGAAAGCAGACUCGAGAGCUGCAAGAAAGGAGAAGACAUUCCCUUGUUCGUCAUCUGGCUCCUUCGUUCCUUCAUUCAUCAUUCGUUUUGAAAAAAAAAUCGUCUCUCAUUUGGCUGGCAAGGAGGUGAUAACAGAUCUGAAACAUAUUAAGGUGGCACAGAGAAUGAAGUUUGGACACGUGGUGAAAUAACAAGUGAGCGGGGUAGAGGAGGAAAGACUUGCUGGGUGUGCAAAGUCUGUUGACUGAGGAGGAAGUCGGGGGUGCAACGGACUUGGCACUGGUCGGGCAGGACCAACCCCCAAGCCACACAUUCUCCUUGAAGUCCCUCAAGUCUGACACCUUUCAGGCCCCAGGACCCCCUCAGUGUCAGUCCUAGUCGUGGUCUGAGUGCCAUGGAGGUCUGUGGUGCAGCCACAGCCAGGGUUGGAGACAGACACCGCUUCUGAGUGUGGGGAGGAGCUGAGCAGCGAAGAGCUUCAGUGAGAGCAAAGACAAAUGGAUUAACUUGUCAAAUCCCUCUUUUCAGCGAGAAUGUAAUGGAUUCAUGUGAAGUGAAGUAUCAGUGCCUGGUAGUGCCUAGUGUCCACUUGUUUACUCACCUUCCUAUUCCGAUUUGUGACUCCAGAGGCACCUACAGACGAGCGUGGCCUUCACAACAGCGGGACGUGGCUGCUGAGGAGCCCCGUGUGCAAUAUUAAGCGAUUCAGUCUCAAAUUUGCAUACGUGUAAGUCCAAACACGGGGGCAAAUGGAUGAACGAUGCCCAGGGGAAUCACAAAUAGUUUCAUUUUUUUUUAUCAGAAUAUUUCAUGUUUUAAUUAAACUUUAAAAAAUUUAAAUAAAAAUUUCAGCUAUAAUUUUAAUUUAAUAAUUAAAACAUUUUGCUUUUUAAUUUUAAUAGCUAAUUUUGAGUUUUUGAAGCAAAAUACAUGAAAAAUAAUUUAAAUUUAUUUGUCG